GUUUCGACUUCACUCUUGAGUGUUUCAAUUGCCGUGCUUCCACUUCCUAUUGAAUUUGUCUGUUUCGAAAAAAUAAAGAUACUAUGAAUCGACCAAACUCAUAUAUCAGCGUCGAUGCUGAAGAAGAAAUUGUUAUUUCUGGUAUUGCUGGCCGAUUUCCUAAUACCAACAAUCUCAAAGAGCUACGAGAAAAUCUUCUUAACAAAAUGGAUCUUGGUUCGAGCGAUCACGGACGAUGGAAUAACUGCUUCCUGCUUUAAAACUAUCGUGUUCUCCACUGGAACAACUCAGAACAAAAUUUUUAAGACUAGAACAAGAACCUAAAGGGUACUUUACUCUCCAUCGGAAAUAUUAUUUUUCAAUUUUCUUUGUUAAAAAUCUUGUUCCAGGCUUCCUGCUUUAAAACUUUUGUGUUCUCCACUGGAACAACUCAGAACAAAAUUUUUAAGACUAGAACAAAAACCUAAAGGGUACUUUACUCUUCAUUGGAAAUAUUAUUUUUCAAUUUUCUUCGUUAAAAAUCUUGUUCCAGGCUUCCCGCUUUAAAACUAUCGUGUUCUCCACUGGAACAACUCAGAACAAAAUUUUUAAGACUAGAACAAGAACCUAAAGGGUACUUUACUCUUCAUCAAAAAUAUAAUUUUUCAAUUUUCUUCGUUAAAAAUCUUGUUCCAGGCUUCCCGCUUUAAAACUAUCGUGUUCUCCACUGGAACAACUCAGAACAAAAUUUUUAAGACCAGAACAAGAAGGUUAGAAAUGUGUUCUAGAUCAACAGUUUUGUAAGUCAUUUUGUUUACGAAUAAAUAACCAAAAACUGUUAUUUUAACAUUUUUUCUUGUUUCAAUAUCUCUUAAAGUUUUUAACCAAUCGAACUAAUACUUUGGAACAAUGUUUGGAACAACUAGAACAAUCUGUAGCGAUAAAAAAUUUCGAUUUUCGAAAAAAGG